rnacentral:tRNA from 1 species
GGGUCGUUAGCUCAGCCGGUAGAGCAGCUGGCUUUUAACCAGUUGGUCGUUGGUUCGAACCCAACACGACCCA